UACGAAGGGUGCAAGCGUUAAUCGGAAUUACUGGGCGUAAAGCGUGCGCAGGCGGUGAUGUAAGACAGAUGUGAAAUCCCCGGGCUCAACCUGGGAACUGCGUUUGUGACUGCAUCACUCGAGUACGGCAGAGGGAGGUGGAAUUCCGCGUGUAGCAGUGAAAUGCGUAGAUAUGCGGAGGAACACCGAUGGCGAAGACAGCCCCCUGGGAUAACACUGACGCUCAUGCACGAAAGCGUGGGGAGCAAACAGGAUUAGAAACCCUAGUAGU
rnacentral:rRNA from 1 species